UAAAAAAAAAAAUGCUUUCAUGCUGAGAAUGAUGCUUCUCCCUGAAGAGCUUAAACUGGCAUUGUCUAUACGAAUCGCAGAGGCGUUGACAGGAUUGAACUGGAUUCCCACCUCCUAGUCAAAGACUGCCUGCUGCAACCACCUUCUGAUGGACAAAGAACCCCAGUGCUUUCUCAUCCUUGCUCGGAGAUGCUGGCAGUUUGGGGAAAGCACCAGUGCAGAAGUAAAGAGAGAAACCCUGCAGAUUUAUGAAGAUAUAUAAGGCCUCCUGACAGGCGCAGAUACAAAGAAAGUGAGAAGAGACCGUUGCAUGAUGAUCCCACAGGAAGCCGUGAAACACAGUCAUCAAGAAGCCACCCCUCAGACAAGCUGCUACCUGUGAAUUCAUCGGAUUUGAGGGUGUACAGCACUCAAAGACGGGGGUCCUCGUCCUGGCCGGUGCUGCAUGGAAGAAUAAAGUAUAACUGUGCUGCAGAGAAAGUCAGAAGCAAGUCAAACAACCCCACAGCACUUGGUG